UUAGCUCAGUGGAUUAGAGUGCCGGAUUCCGAUUCCGAAGGUCGUGGGUUCAAAUCCCCCA
rnacentral:tRNA from 1 species